rnacentral:lncRNA from 1 species
AAUAAAAACAAAGACAAAAACAGGAAAAUACUGUAACCUCCAUCUCCCUCCCUGCAAUGCCUUGGAUGAAAUCUCAUCUUUCAUUUUAUAAAAAAAAAUGAACCCUAAUAAAUAACAAAAAAGGAAUGAUUUAAAGAAAAAAAAAAGGUGAUACCAGGGAUAGGAUUAAUAUUUAGUGGAAACGAAACUGCUAUAAUAAAAAAAAAAGUUGAAAGCAUAGACGAAUGAAAUCAAGUUGUUUGUUUGAUUCGAAAACCUAAAAAAAGUAGAAAAAUCAUCAAUGACCUAAAUCGACAAAAACUAAAAAGAUUUUGCAAAACCUAAUUUAAUCACCCUACACAUAUGAACAAUAAUAUACUAUUUAGGGUAUUGUAUGUUUUGCUUACGUAAAACAUAGUUGUGACUUGUCAUGUAAAACAUAUUAAAUGAAUUUUUUUGUAAUUUAAUCAUCUUAUGUUAUAAAUAAAUUGUUUUUAUUUGAAUAAAUAUAAAUUUA